UCUCAUCUCUUUCCAUCUAUCUGCGAUUCCUUUCAUAUCUUUAAAAGAAACCCUAAACCUUGAUUUAAUAGGUGAUGAGAGGCUAAUUCAAACAAUGGGUGUCUCAUCUAUUUAGAAUCACAGGGAUGCAGAUCAUACAAAAUGGACAGCAUAGUUCCAUAGGAAACAGUACUUCAUAAAGCUAGGGGAAAAACUGUUCGAGCGUAGAUGCCCGUCCAUUAGAUGCUGGCAAAGAGAUGUAAGGCUUGGGGAUUCAGUAUAUGCAUCUGCGAACAACAGUUGAACCUGUUGACAUGGCCGGAAGUUUUUUGCCUGUUUGCUUUUUCCGCCGUGCUUGGACCACUACUGAAGAAAUCUUAAACAGUUUUUUUUUUUUUUGUGAUGACAACGAGGAAUUGCUCCACAACAGCUGAUCUGAAGUUGCUAGAGCAUCAACACCACCAAAACUGAAGUUUGGGGGUUUGAGUUGCUUAAUAAGAUAUCUUUGAUUGUUACUGGAGUUUCAAGCUCGAAUGGUCUACAACUAUGAAACAAAUGCAACCGUAUGUAUAGGAGUUUGGGCUAAUGCAGCAUUUGCUAUUCUCCAUGCAAUUUUUUGAGUUGGAAAAGAACCAUUUGGUCUAUGGAGUUGUUGGAUCCUCUUGCAAUGAAAUUAAUAACUGAUAUGCAAUGGGUUAAUAUUUUACUCCUUGAUGUAUAGUCUCCACAAAACUUAGAACGUGUUUUCUGUAGUCAUGUCAUGUCAUACCAGGUAAGGUGUUUAGUUAUUAUAAAUCAUCUUAAGAAGGAAGAUAAUUAUGAAUGACACAUUAUUCUACAACCACCACUAUGCUGAUUCCUAUGUAAUUAAUAAGCACAUUAAACUGGCUUUGAUUCCCUGAUGCAAGCAAGAAAAAACUGUUAAUGGUGUGUUGUGUGUUAAAAUGAGUUUAUAUAUAAUUAAUGAAUUUCUGCAGGUUCCUUCUCAUGACUAUGUGUAUGCUAUAUGGUGCUGCAUUCGGACCUCUAUCACCUUUAGCCGAAGCUUUUUCGAAUGAUUGAGAAACAGCUGAUGUGGUUGUAGCUUGGGCAAUUUAAGCAGAAAACUUCGAUACAUUUCAAGUUUGGAAAGGCUGAUAUUUAUCCUACAAAUAGUUCUCAGUUUUUACGCAUGGUGGAAAUUAUUCGAGGAGGCUGUAAAUUCUAAAGAAUGCGAAUGAAAACUUGGUAAGCCUGAAUGCAGCAAGGAUGGGGUUGCAGCAAGUAAAGGUAUUAUUUUUUCUUACCAUUUUAUUUGGGUAAUGAUCAUGGGCCAUGGCUGAAUCUCUAUAAACUAAAUUGUAUAUGUGGAUCCUUGGAAACAGUGUCAACAUUAGUGGACUUUGGCUAGAUUCUUUAGAUAGUCUGAUGUUUUUAUUUUCUGAUUACGAUGUGGGUCCUACCUGCUGUAGAUCCCUCUUUCAGGAAGAAGAAAAGAAAUCUUAACAAUGAUCCAUCAAGUAAAUGCUUCUAUAAAGUGAAGUUUAUCAGAAUUUUACCUUACUGUUGUUAAUAAUUUCAAUAAAAAUACAAUAUAUGUACGGUGAACAAAUUUAUAGGAACUAUGAGAAACAAUGCACACACGUAAAUAAACUUAUAUGCUCAGGUAGCAUUCAUAGAAGGAAAGACCACACUGCACUAAACUGUCUACAAAGACAGUUGUAGAACUUCAGUUGUGCAAGUUAGCGGUGGAAUUGAUCAUUUUUAUUAUUAUGCACACAAAACUUGGUGUAUGCCUUUCGCUUUUUAAGAUUAUUUAUCUAUCUGCAUUAAUGGACAAUAUUUACACCAUUUAGUUCGGUUAGUUAUCUUCUUUUCAUUCUCAUUUAAGAUACUAAUGAUGGGCACCACAGAGAGAGUUGUUACUAUGCUAAUAUAUUUUUAGAAAGGUAUGAUUUUAGAAGCACAAUAUGUUCUUAUAACCAUGCUAAGGGUUUUAUGAUCUAUAGCCAGGGAAAAAAACUGUUUUAAGUGUAGCAGCACAUCCAUCAGAUGCCUUUUUUUUAAUCGUCAGAUGCCAUUAAUGUGGCAAAAAUAUGCUAGAUAAUGUGAUUUAGUUGUUGGUGCUUGCAGGUGGUAGUGGAUAUGUGGUAGUUUUGGUGUUUGGUAAUGGUGUUUUGGACUCUUUUAUUAUUAAUUAAAUUGUUUACACCUGAUUCAUGUACAUUAACAGAGAAGUAGAUUAGGUUCAUGAUGAGAUUAUAAUUUGGAAUUAGUUUCAGUUUAAUAGAAACUGUAUGCUCUCUGAUUGGCUAUAUAGUAGUACAUCAACAAAUAACAUGAAGGGACUUAAAGAAUCAGAUCUCUGUUCAGAUUCCUUAUAUAUGGCCACAAGUACCAGAUUAUUUCCGAAUCAUUCUUUUUUUAAGAAAGGCCUGCAUGGCACGAAAUGUUUUAUUAUGUAAUUUUGCUUCUUUGAUUUAUGACAUGAUACAAUAUAUGAUGCAUUUGCCAACAACUGCUGAACCCAUCGUCAUGUCUUAGAUUUCGCCUGUUUGUUUUGUCUGCUGGGUUUGGAUUACAAUUGAAGAAAUCUAGAACUAUCUUUUUUGUGAUGACAAUGAGGUCAGUUGCAAAGCAUCUGAUCAGGGGCCAAUCUCAAGCACGUGGAAAUAGAUUUCCCCCAAGAUAUUUAAGUGUCUACUCAUUAGUGAGUGAGCUACACAGCUUUUGCUAAGAUGAUGAGCCUUAUUUGGAUAAGACAGGGUCCAGAUUGUUAACGUUUGCUUGACUACAAGCGCUUUCAAGGAGGUUGAAUCAACUUUCAGGAGUUCCACAAUGUGCUUUGUAAAUGGUGGAAGAAUGUCUAUUCGGGACUUUGUUUCUGAAGAUGACUGCUUACAUUUUAAUAAGUAAGCUGAAGGUCAAGGAUGAGUGCUAAAUCCUACCGACUUGAUUCGGGGUUCAUUUCGGCCACUCAUGGUUUAGCUGGAAAAGUGAUGCAAGUAUAACAAGCAUCAGGGGUACUUUGAAGUAUAUUAUUACAGUUCAUCCAGAUUUGUAAGCUGCUGGGAAUUUGAAUUUAUGCUCUUGACGAAGUUAGUUCCGGUACAUUGUUCAUGGACUACUUUAAGGGAGAUGGUGUAGAAAGCUUUGGGUGGAUGAAUAAAAAAGAGAACUUCCAAGAUGUUCCGAGCUAGAAAUCUAGAAUAUAUUUGUUAUAGGAGUUUGCAAAAUAGGGAGGACUUAAUAUGCAAUGACUAAGAUUAAAUUUAUCAGAGAGUAGAUUGCUUAUUGAUGAAAUAACACUCAUUCCAUUGAUUCUUGGGUACUGCAUGAUAUGGGAUUUAGAGAAGGGCUUCUGGUUCCAAAAAAAAAUAUGAUUGCUUAGUCCUUUAAGCUAGAUGUUACUACAUUGACAUUCUUAUUUACGGAGUGCGCCAAGAGCAGAUGUAAAUAUGACUGUUAGGAGGAGGCCAAACUGAAACUCAACGUGUUCUGAGAACUGCAUGUCAUGGCGCGAAUGAAGAUCAGAAUUUUGUUAAAAACAUAUAUAAUUUCACUGAAAAUAUGAUUGAUUUAGUAAAAAAAAAGUCAAUGAAAAUUUAAUUACUAUGGCAAAUGUAUAAGUUGUGAGUCAUAAAGAUUAUCUGAACUAUUAAUAAUUACUUAGAUUUGGGACAACCAACUUGAGAUUAUAUUGCUCAAAAAAAAAAAAAAGCUUAGAGAUUUUAUGAACUAUUAAUAAUUGUUUCUAGAAUUUAUUUAGGUAUAUAGUACUACCCUCAUAA